rnacentral:rRNA from 1 species
UACGUAGGGUGCAAGCGUUAAUCGGAAUUACUGGGCGUAAAGAGCUCGUAGGCGGCUGUCCACGUCGGGUGUGAAAGCUCAGGGCUCAACCCUGAGAGGCCAUUCGAUACGGGACGGCUAGAGGUAGGUAGGGGAAAGUGGAAUUCCUGGUGUAGCGGUGAAAUGCGCAGAUAUCAGGAGGAACACCGGUGGCGAAGGCGGCUUUCUGGGCCUUACCUGACGCUGAGGAGCGAAAGCUGGGGGAGCGAACAGG